UCGUAACAAGGUCUCCGUUGGUGAACCAGCGGAGGGAUCAUUACUGAGUUACCGCUCAUCAACCCUUUGUGAACAUACCUUAACUGUUGCUUCGGCGGGUAGGCGUCCCCUAAAAAGGACGUCUCCCGGCCCUCUCCCGUCCGCGGGUGGGGCGCCCGCCGGAGGAUAACCAAACUCUGAUUUAACGACGUUUCUUCUGAGUGACACAAGCAAAUAAUCAAAACUUUUAACAACGGAUCUCUUGGUUCUGGCAUCGAUGAAGAACGCAGCGAAAUGCGAUAAGUAAUGUGAAUUGCAGAAUUCAGUGAAUCAUCGAAUCUUUGAACGCACAUUGCGCCCGCCAGCAUUCUGGCGGGCAUGCCUGUUCGAGCGUCAUUUCAACCCUCAAGCUCUGCUUGGUGUUGGGGCUCUACGGUUGACGUAGGCCCUUAAAGGUAGUGGCGGACCCUCUCGGAGCCUCCUUUGCGUAGUAACAUUUCGUCUCGCAUUGGGAUUCGGAGGGACUCUAGCCGUAAAACCCCCAAUUUUACUAAGGUUGACCUCGGAUCAGGUAGGAAUACCCGCUGAACUUAAGCAUAUCAAUA
rnacentral:rRNA from 1 species